AACGCGAAGAACCUUACCCAGGCUUGAACAGCGAGUGACCAUCGAUGAAAGUCGACUUCCGCAAGGACACUUGUAGAGGUGCUGCAUGGCUGUCGUCAGCUCGUGUCGUGAGAUGUUGGGUUAAGUCCCGCAACGAGCGCAACCCUUGUUUGCUGUUGCCAUCAGGUCAAGCUGGGCACUCUGCAAAGACUGCCGGUGAUAAACCGGAGGAAGGUGGGGAUGACGUCAAGUCAGCAUGGCCUUUAUGUCUGGGGCUACACACGUGCUACAAUGGCCGAUACAAACCGUCGCAAAACCGCAAGGUGGAGCUAAUCGGAGAAAGUCGGUCUCAGUUCGGAUAGCAGGCUGCAACUCGCCUGCUUGAAGUUGGAAUCGCUAGUAAUCGCGGAUCAGCACGCCGCGGUGAAUACGUUCCCGGGCCUUGUACACACCGUAGUAC
rnacentral:rRNA from 1 species